ACAUAGAUUGUCAAAUUAAGUUCCUACUCUCUCUACACGAAUCUACUCCAAAACACUUCCCUCGACACUCAUAAUGUAGCCGUCUAAGGCCUGGUUUGGUACUGAGGUGAUUAUGAAAAAAGCUGGUAUCAAAAAAAGCUGAGAGCUGUUUUUGUGUUUGGUAAACAUUCAGCUUCAGCUUUUCUUCACAGUUUUGGGUGAAAAAAAGCCAAAAACAAGAAGCUGCAAAACCAAGCUUUGAAAAACCGGCUUUUUUCACAUUUGUUUUACAUAAAAGUUUACCAAACACUAUAAUACUGCUUUUUUUUUUCAAAAGCACUUUUACAAAAAAGUUUACCAAAUACUCUGCUACUUUAUUUCACAGCUGCUUAUUCUCACAACACAGCAGAAGCAAUUUUUUUUCAAAGCACGGCAAUACCAAACCAGCCCUAAAUCAUGUUAGAAUUGGACAGUUUGACCGCAAUCUCUCACUAAAUCAUGUUUCUACACUCCCUUCCAGCUCAACCCAUAAUUUCAUAGCGUUUGAAUUAAUACCAAUAUAACACAAGCAAAGAAAUGCUAACGAAAAACUCGAAUCUACUAACAAAGUUGCAUCCUUUCCAAUUCAAUUCAGUUUUUU
rnacentral:lncRNA from 1 species